rnacentral:misc_RNA from 1 species
CUAAGUCCAAACCAAAUCUUGAAGAUUUAGUUGAGGAAGCUAGUUCAAAACCCGUCCUUGGUUCUAGAUCACACAGCAAUCCUAAGGAGAGAUCUACUCCCUCUGAUAAACAAGGAAAACAGAGAUUGUCUCUGCCUGGUAGCGGUCUUGCACCUCAAACAGCCAGACAACCAAGCAGAACCAUCAAAAGGACAUCUAGUAUGCAGAAGCCUUUGAAGG